rnacentral:lncRNA from 1 species
CCUUCUGGGUGUGCCAGGUUGGCAUGGGGAGGCUGGGCUCACACCCAAAUCAGGACGUAGCCUAUCGUGAGGGUCUGGGUGAGCUGGGAGGUGUUCAGAAUAGAAGAGCAACCCAUGAAGGCUCCCCGGAGGAAGCAGGCCUGGCGCUGAGUCACAGGAGCCUAGGGCAGGGUAACCCCCACCUGAAGUCACUGUCUCCCCAGCAGUGACAUCAUUAGCAAGCCAGAAUGCGCAGGGCAUACAGCUGGAGGACCAGGCAAGCUGAGGCGGGGGCCAAGUGGGCAGUUCGAGGCCAACCCCCAUCAGCGGCCAAUGGCCUCUAGAAGAUCGCUGGGCCUCACACGCCUUGGAAACCAGAGCGAGAGGCCAUCAGGGUGGAGAAGGCAGCCCAUCACCUCCCAGCCCUAUCUCCUCACCAGGCCCAGGAGCUGGCACCUCAG